rnacentral:rRNA from 1 species
UACGUAGGGCGCAAGCGUUAUCCGGAAUUAUUGGGCGUAAAGAGCUCGUAGGCGGUUUGUCGCGUCUGCCGUGAAAGUCCGAGGCUCAACUUCGGAUCUGCGGUGGGUACGGGCAGACUAGAGUGAUGUAGGGGAGACUGGAAUUCCUGGUGUAGCGGUGAAAUGCGUAGAUAUUGGAAAGACCACCAAUGGCGAAGGCACUCUACUGGGCCAUUACUGACACUGAGAGACGAAAGCUAGGGGGAGCGAAUGGG